AUUGAACGCUGGCGGCAUGCCUUACACAUGCAAGUCGAACGGCAGCACGGGAGCAAUCCUGGUGGCGAGUGGCGAACGGGUGAGUAAUAUAUCGGAACGUGCCCAGUAGUGGGGGAUAGCCCGGCGAAAGCCGGAUUAAUACCGCAUACGACCUGAGGGUGAAAGCGGGGGAUCGCAAGACCUCGCGCUAUUGGAGCGGCCGAUAUCAGAUUAGCUAGUUGGUGGGGUAAAGGCCUACCAAGGCUACGAUCUGUAGUUGGUCUGAGAGGACGACCAGCCACACUGGGACUGAGACACGGCCCAGACUCCUACGGGAGGCAGCAGUGGGGAAUUUUGGACAAUGGGCGCAAGCCUGAUCCAGCAAUGCCGCGUGCAGGAAGAAGGCCUUCGGGUUGUAAACUGCUUUUGUACGGAACGAAAAGGUCUGGGUUAAUACCCUGGGCUCAUGACGGUACCGUAAGAAUAAGCACCGGCUAACUACGUG
rnacentral:rRNA from 1 species